rnacentral:rRNA from 1 species
AUAGGUCAUUGUAAGAUUAACUAAUUUUUUAAGGUGUUAAGUAAGUAUAUAUAAAUAUAAAUGUAUGAACAGCUGAGGCAUACUAGUUUACCAAAAUAUAAAAAA